UAAAAUUCAAGUCUGAGGGUUCC
rnacentral:miRNA from 1 species